rnacentral:rRNA from 1 species
UGCAUGAGUGGCGGACGGGUGAGUAACGCGUGGGCAACCUGGCCUGUACAGGGGGAUAACGCUUAGAAAUAGGUGCUAAUACCGCAUAACGGGGGAAGCCGCAUGGCUUUUCCCUGAAAACUCCGGUGGUACAGGAUGGGCCCGCGUCUGAUUAGCCAGUUGGCAGGGUAACGGCCUACCAAAGCGACGAUCAGUAGCCGGCCUGAGAGGGCGGACGGCCACACUGGGACUGAGACACGGACCAAACUCCUACGGAAGGCAGCAG